CCUACGGGGGGCUGCAGUGGGGAAUAUUGGACAAUGGGGGCAACCCUGAUCCAGCCAUGCCGCGUGUGUGAAGAAGGCCCUCGGGUUGUAAAGCACUUUCAGUGAGGAAGAACGCCUGGUGGUUAAUACCCAUCAGGAAAGACAUCACUCACAGAAGAAGCACCGGCUAACUCCGUGCCAGCAGCCGCGGUAAUACGGAGGGUGCGAGCGUUAAUCGGAAUUACUGGGCGUAAAGCGCGCGUAGGUGGCUUGAUAAGCCGGUUGUGAAAGCCCCGGGCUCAACCUGGGAACGGCAUCCGGAACUGUCAAGCUAGAGUGCAGGAGAGGAAGGUAGAAUUCCCGGUGUAGCGGUGAAAUGCGUAGAGAUCGGGAGGAAUACCAGUGGCGAAGGCGGCCUUCUGGUCUGACACUGACACUGAGGUGCGAAAGCGUGGGUAGCAAACAGGAUUAGAUACCCUAGUAGUC
rnacentral:rRNA from 1 species